ACGGGUGAGUAACACGUGGGAAUCUACCCAUCCUUACGGAACAACUCCGGGAAACUGGAGCUAAUACCGUAUACGCCCUUUGGGGGAAAGAUUUAUCGAGGAUGGAUGAGCCCGCGUUGGAUUAGCUAGUUGGUGGGGUAAAGGCCUACCAAGGCGACGAUCCAUAGCUGGUCUGAGAGGAUGAUCAGCCACAUUGGGACUGAGACACGGCCCAAACUCCUACGGGAGGCAGCAGUGGGGAAUAUUGGACAAUGGGCGCAAGCCUGAUCCAGCCAUGCCGCGUGAGUGAUGAAGGCCCUAGGGUUGUAAAGCUCUUUCACCGGAGAAGAUAAUGACGGUAUCCGGAGAAGAAGCCCCGGCUAACUUCGUGCCAGCAGCCGCGGUAAUACGAAGGGGGCUAGCGUUGUUCGGAUUUACUGGGCGUAAAGCGCACGUAGGCGGAUCGAUCAGUCAGGGGUGAAAUCCCAGAGCUCAACUCUGGAACUGCCUUUGAUACUGUCGAUCUGGAGUAUGGAAGAGGUGAGUGGAAUUCCGAGUGUAGAGGUGAAAUUCGUAGA
rnacentral:rRNA from 1 species